rnacentral:tRNA from 1 species
GGUGGCUCAGUGGUAGAGCGCUUGCCUUGAAUGCAUGAGCCCUGGGUUCGAUUCCUCAGCACCA